GACUUAUCCAGAGCAGGCGUAGGGAACAGGCCCGGUGACGCCACGGCAACCGUCCUCAAGGGAGGGAAGAGGUGCCAAUUCCUGCGGUUCCGACCAGAACCGGAAGAUAAGUC
rnacentral:ncRNA from 2 species